UAUAACAGUGAAUUUAUCUAAUCCUCCAUGAUGGACAGUAACGUGAGGGAGUCAGGGAGAACGAACGUAACGCAAUUUUCGCUGCCAGUUAUUCUUUUGUCAUGGCGGGGAGGUGUGUGUGAGGCGGCGCGGGGUCACUAUUAUUGUUAUUUUGACGAGUGUGCGGCGCGGGGCGAGGGGUCCUUCACGCGGGUUCAGGAGGGACAUACAGGGCACCGCUGGACGACCCUGCUGUGUGUGUGUGCGGAGGCAAGGUGAGGGGCGGCAGGUGGCUCGGGGGUCAUGUGUCGCAAGUAGGCCGGGGCGCGCCGUGAUGCCCUGACCCCCGCUGAGCCCUUAAUGACGCCCCUGCCACCACACUACCGCCACCACUACCACCACCACCGCCACCACCCACCAUAACCGCCGCCUCCGCUAAAGGUCCCGACGAAGGUGUUCAGCGGGCGGGCGGCGGUGGGUUGGGGGCCACAUGGGGACUGCCGCAAGUACGCCGUCGAACCCAAGCCUUCAACUCAGGGCAGGGCGCGAUGGGCUGAACCCCCACUGAGCCCUUAAUGUAACCCCCCACCCACCACCUCCACGCACCACCACCACGCACCACCACCACCACCACCUCAACGGAGCAAAGGUAAGCUACAGUUCUCUUUCUCGGCGUUGCGUUACUUUUUCAAUGUCAAUUCAUUUUUCAGCAAGAGUCGCGCUUGUUCACCAUUAAUCAUAUAAGGAGACGAGGCGGCGCAGUUCGGGCAUCCGCGUGUGUUGACCGUGGUACGUACAGACAGCUUUAAGGCCCAUGCUGCCGCCGCGAAGCCCCUGUCGACGCAAAUAGCAAUGUAAAGGUGAUUGGGUAAUACGGGGAUGACUUUGCAGCGCGCGUUGAUCAGGGGAUAACCUCGAUAGAU